rnacentral:rRNA from 1 species
UACAGAGGGUGCGAGCGUUGUCCGGAAUCACUGGGCGUAAAGGGCGCGUAGGCGGCUUGAUAAGCGUGCGGUGAAAGCCCGGGGCUCAACCCCGGGUCGGCCGUGCGAACUGUCGAGCUGGAGCACUGUAGAGGCAGGUGGAAUUCCGGGUGUAGCGGUGGAAUGCGUUGAGAUCCGGAAGAACACCGGUGGCGAAGGCGGCCUGCUGGGCAGUGGCUGACGCUGAGGCGCGACAGCGUGGGGAGCAAACAGG